GCAAUACAGAAAGCAGCCUUUCCCCUGCUUUCAACAGUGUUUGAGAGGAUUCUGAAACUCUCUGUAGGCGAAAAAGAAGCCACCAAACUGACUCUGUUUCAAAUUUCUACUCUAAGUUAUUUCUCCUGUUCGUGUGAACCCUGGGACAGAACGGGUGUGUAUUCAUUUUAACCUUAGCUCAGAUGGACAGCUCCAGGUGUGUAAGUGGGUUGGUGGUGGCUGCCCAGAGAGGAGGAGAUAUUUCAGAUUUGGUUUCUCCAAGGUUGCACCAUUGAUUGCAUUCCAUGUACAUUAUGAUCCCAAAGUGUGUUUAAUCGAGAGCUACACAACAGUGCAAAGUGGCGGAUGUUAAUGUUGACUAGAACUUAACCUAUACGUUUUGAGUGCCUUCCUGGGGCCUGGAUUUUAACUGAGCAUCGUUAAUGUGAUGAAUUUCUCACUGUUAAUUAAAUGUUAUAAUGAGUCUUCAAUACUUUUAAAACCAGAAGAGAAGUAUUCUGUGAGAAAACUUUAUAUAUGUUUAAAAAACAAAAGAAUUCCAUCUUUCUGUUGACACUUUCCCCACACCUUUGUGCGGC
rnacentral:lncRNA from 1 species